UACGUCCCUUCGUACCAGACUGAGGAGAAUGGAGACACCCAUUUAUGGUUUACUAAGGUCUUUGUCUAAUGGACAAACUCCAUGUAGAAUUGCUUGUGACCCAACUUGGGAUUUGGGCUCAGAGAUACAAGAACUAUACUUGUUUAGUUUGUGAGCUACUAUAGAUGUUAGUGAAAGGUCUGCAUUGCAGUGACAACAACCCGUG
rnacentral:misc_RNA from 1 species